AGAGUUUGAUCAUGGCUCAGAACGAACGCUGGCGGCGUGGAUAAGACAUGCAAGUCGAACGGGAUUACUUUUGGUAGCAAUACCGAAAGUGAUUCAGUGGCGAACGGGUGCGUAACACGUGGGCAAUCUACCGAGAAGUGGGGGAUAGCUCGCCGAAAGGCGAAUUAAUACCGCAUGUGAUGAGAGGCGACAUCGCUUCGAAAUCAAAGGUGGCGCAAGCUACCGCUUUUUGAGGAGCCCGCGGCCUAUCAGCUUGUUGGUGAGGUAAUGGCUCACCAAGGCAUUGACGGGUAGCUGGUCUGAGAGGACGACCAGUCACACUGGGACUGAGACACGGCCCAGACACCUACGGGUGGCAGCAGUCGAGAAUUUUUCUCAAUGGGGGAAACCCUGAAGGAGCGACGCCGCGUGGAGGAUGAAGGUCUUCGGAUUGUAAACUCCUGUCAUUUGGGAACAAGGUGUGCGCGUUAACUGCGCGCACAUUGAUAGUACCAGAAGAGGAAGAGACGGCUAACUCUGUGCCAGCAGCCGCGGUA
rnacentral:rRNA from 1 species